GAUGAACGCUGGCGGCGUGCCUAAUACAUGCAAGUCGAGCGAACAGACGAGGAGCUUGCUCCUCUGACGUUAGCGGCGGACGGGUGAGUAACACGUGGAUAACCUACCUAUAAGACUGGGAUAACUUCGGGAAACCGGAGCUAAUACCGGAUAAUAUAUUGAACCGCAUGGUUCAAUAGUGAAAGACGGUUUUGCUGUCACUUAUAGAUGGAUCCGCGCCGCAUUAGCUAGUUGGUAAGGUAACGGCUUACCAAGGCAACGAUGCGUAGCCGACCUGAGAGGGUGAUCGGCCACACUGGAACUGAGACACGGCCCAGACUCCUACGGGAGGCAGCAGUAGGGAAUCUUCCGCAAUGGGCGAGAGCUUGACGGAGCAACGCCGCGUGAGUGAUGAAGGUCUUCGGAUCGUAAAACUCUGUUAUUAGGGAAGAACAAAUGUGUAAGUAACUAUGCACGUCUUGACGGUACCUAAUCAGAAAGCCACGGCUAACUACGUG
rnacentral:rRNA from 1 species